AUCCUUUUAGUAUAAUUAGUAUGACUGACUUCCAAUUAGUCGGCUCUGGGCAGCUCCAGAAAAGGAUA
rnacentral:tRNA from 1 species